UACAGAGGGGGCCAGCGUUAUUCGGAAUUAUUGGGCGUAAAGGGCGCGUAGGCGGCUUUGCGUGUCUUUCGUGAAAUCCCUCGGCUCAACUGAGGACGUGCGGAAGAAACUGCAGGGCUGGAGUCCGGGAGAGGAGGGUGGAAUUCCCAGUGUAGCGGUGAAAUGCGUAGAUAUUGGGAGGAACACCGGUGGCGAAGGCGGCCCUCUGGACCGGUACUGACGCUGAUGCGCGAAAGCCAGGGGAGCGAACGGG
rnacentral:rRNA from 1 species